AUUGAACGCUGGCGGCAGGCCUAACACAUGCAAGUCGAGCGGAUGAAGGGAGCUUGCUCCUGGAUUCAGCGGCGGACGGGUGAGUAAUGCCUAGGAAUCUGCCUGGUAGUGGGGGAUAACGUCCGGAAACGGGCGCUAAUACCGCAUACGUCCUGAGGGAGAAAGUGGGGGAUCUUCGGACCUCACGCUAUCAGAUGAGCCUAGGUCGGAUUAGCUAGUUGGUGGGGUAAAGGCCUACCAAGGCGACGAUCCGUAACUGGUCUGAGAGGAUGAUCAGUCAAACUGGAACUGAGACGCGGUCCAGACUCCUACGGGAGGCAGCAGUGGGGAAUAUUGGACAUUUGGCGAAGGCCUGAUCCAGCCAUGCCGCGUGUGUGAAGAAGGUCUUCGGAUUGUAAAGCACUUUAAGUUGGGAGGAAGGGCAGUAAGUUAAUACCUUGCUGUUUUGACGUUACCAACAGAAUAAGCACCGGCUAACUUCGUG
rnacentral:rRNA from 1 species